rnacentral:rRNA from 1 species
AUGAACGCUGGCGGCGUGCCUAAUACCUGCAAGUCGAGCGAACGGACGAGAAGCUUGCUUCCCUGAUGUUAGCGGCGGACGGGUGAGUAACACGUGGAUAACCUACCUAUAAGACUGGGAUAACUUCGGGAAACCGGAGCUAAUACCGGAUAAUAUUUUGAACCGCAUGGUUCAAAAAUGAAAGACGGUCUUGCUGUCACUUAUAGAUGGAUCCGAGCUGCAUUAGCUAGUUGGUAAGGUAACGGCUUACCAAGGCAACGAUGCAUAGCCGACCUGAGAGGGUGAUCGGCCACACUGGAACUGAGACACGGUCCAGACUCCUACGGGAGGCAGCAGUAGGGAAUCUUCCGCAAAGGGCGAAAGCCUGACGGAGCAACGCCGCGUGAGUGAUAAAGGUCUUCGGAUCGUAAAACUCUGUUAUUAGGGAAGAACAUAUGUGUAAGUAACUGUGCACAUCUUGACGGUACCUAAUCAGAAAGCCACGGCUAACUACGUG